rnacentral:sRNA from 1 species
GCCAGGUGUGGUGGCACACGCCUGUAAUCCCAGUGACUUGGGAGGCUGAGGCAACUUAGUUUAGCAACUUAGCCAGGCACUUAGCAUCUC